AACGAACGCUGGCGGCGUGCCUAACACAUGCAAGUCGGACGAUGAAGCCCGCGAGAGCUUGCUCUCAUGGGUGGAUUAGUGGCGCACGGGUGAGUAACACGUGGGUAACCUACCCUUAAGUGGGGGACAACAUCGGGAAACCGGUGCUAAUACCGCAUAAGACCACGGAUUGAGAUAUUUGUGGUAAAAGGAUUUAUUCGCUUAAGGAUGGGCCCGCGCCCUAUCAGGUAGUUGGUGAGGUAAAGGCUCACCAAGCCUAAGACGGGUAGCCGGUCUGAGAGGAUGAACGGCCACAAUGGAACUGAGACACGGUCCAUACUCCUACGGGAGGCAGCAGUGGGGAAUUUGCGCAAUGGGGGAAACCCUGACGCAGCGACGCCGCGUGGAGGACGAAAGCCUUCGGGUUGUAAACUCCUUUUAUGAGGGAAGAUAGUGACGGUACCUCAUGAAUAAGCCACGGCUAACUCUGUG
rnacentral:rRNA from 1 species